UGGUGGGUUGCCUUGUCAGGUUGAUUCCGGUAACGAACGAGACCUCAGCCUGCUAAAUAGUUUCUUCUGCUCCGGCAGUCGACUAUCUUCUUAGAGGGACUGUUGGCGUCUAGCCAAUGGAAGUAUGAGGCAAUAACA
rnacentral:rRNA from 1 species